rnacentral:lncRNA from 1 species
UGAGAUCAUCUGCACAGAAAGCCAAAGAAGCUUUCUGACUUCCAGGGGGAGCCCAGCAUCUGCUGAAGUGAAGACCCAGAUUGAUGGAGAGGUUUUCCUGAGGAGCAGCUGGAAGAGCGUGAACUCUGCACAUCUCCUCCAGCUAUUCUAAGUCUCCUAGAAAGUUUCUCUCUUCUGUUUGGAAAUUCUGCUAAGCUCUGCUGCAGAUGAAGAGGAAGACAAGCCAAGUUAUCCUUCAGACAGGAAAUGGGAUGUUGGUGGUGGCCCCAAGAAGUGCACAGACUCUGAACUGGAAGAUGAGAGACCACUGUGGAAGGGAUCCAGGUAAGGGAGUUUCUGUGAUCCAGGCCAUGGUGGCAUUAAGCAGUAAAGACUAGUUUCCUCAUGCUGCCCCACUAAAUUCUAG